AAAAAACAAAGGGUGACUGUAGCUGUAGGAGGCAAUCUCCUUAAUCUCGUUUAAAGUCAUAUACUUUCGUGGUUUAUAUAUGUCGUCCCAGAAGAAGCUCGAGCAGAGGGGUUGUUGCUCUUGCAGAGCUUGGGAAUUUCUUAACUAAAGCGGAAACCAUCAGCCUUAAAGCGGUAACGUCGUUCAAUAUACCUCUCCCUACCUCUUCUUCGGUUCCACCUCGAGGGAUACCAGAAAAUCUAACAACCAUGGACACCCGGGAAAGACCGGCCCCGGUUCCCUCUAGUUCUAUUCGAAUAUUAUGUCUUAAGUCUCCGUCGAACAUGUCUUUUUCAUGGACAACAUUUAAAUAAUCUAAAACACCAUUAAAGAGCUUAAGAAACGUUUUUGACAUUCCCAAAAUUUUUGUUACUCCCCCAUCAGUUUUUUGCAGCCAGACAUCAGACGAACUCCGGUGUAUAUUGUCGUUUAGCUACUCAUAGAAAUCCUGGGGUUGAAGUUCCUCUUCUUCUGCAUCGGCCAUGUUCACAGGUUCAGCCAGACAUCAGACGAACGCAUGGGAGAACACGGACGGGAUGAUAAAUUAGAUCGCGGAGAAUCAAACGGAAAGCUUAUGAAGGAACUGCUCUGAGCUUUGCCCGAUGCAUUGCCGAAGCUGCAUUACGUUCUUUGUUUGGUCUUGGGCGAUGAGGGCUAUGCCAAGGAAUUUUGAGACAGCCUCCCGAAUCUCCUUCGGAGUGGACAUGGACUUAAGUUCUGAACAUUCCUGGAAACAAUUUUGGGUAUGUUUCUUUUUUCCUAUACUUCAUUUUUUGCAUUAAAUUUUGAGUUUGUCCCAGAUUUUUUAUUCCCAUUCUCGGUUUACAAAAGCAGAUAUCUCGUGAAUUCGAAUAGAAAAGUAAACUGUGGGAAGUCAAGUGGUGUAUUGAUAAAUGAAGUUUCAAACCACACAGGGUGUAGGUGAAAUUUACCUGAUUGAUGAAAGUUCUAGUAUCGAGGUGGCGCAUUUGCUAGGAGUUUUGAAAAAAUGGACAAUUCCUAGAAGAGAUGGGGUGUGGGAAGGUUGGGAGAAUCUUGUUGGACUAUUACAGUUUGCUUUCUAAAUGACCAUGAGACUUGGGAAUGCACCCCUUGUUAGGAAUUCUUGAGCAUGCCUGCCAAACAUAACACUUAUUCUGAUUAAAGGUGUGAUCUUUUCAUUCUUUCGGAUUGUUUCUUGCGAAUUUUAUUUUCUAUUUCCUCAUGGGAAAUGGAUGUACCAAUUUUCCUUCCCACAAUAUGUUUUGGGUGCUAAUGUGCCUCUUUAAGGUUAAAAUGGUUGCAUGACCUUUGGCUAGUGCAUAACUUUGCCUCUUAAUGUUGGGUAUCCACUGUUUUUUAUUUUUUUUUCUCCUGAUUCUAUAUGGCGAAUUUAACAUUUUUGGUUCUUGUUUAUGUAAGAAUUUGUUACUAUCUAAUAUUUGGUAGAUGUUUUUUAUGGCUCAUUGACUGGUUCACUUCCUAAAUACAUAUUGUCUUAGUGUUUGAAUUAAUUGGGUAAGCUAUUUCCCUAUUUUUUAUUGCCUUACCUUGCGCCUCGCACGCAGACCCUAGAGCCUCGGUGAACCUCUCGCCCUAACUAACUAUGUUGGUGAGUCUCUGAUUUCAUUUGAACAUUAUAUUAAACAAGUAAAAUGUGAGGAAUCAUAAUUCAUAACAUCAAACGGCAAAGUACUUCGAUCCUCCCCUAGUAGAAUUGGGAGAAGAUACCUGGAAAACAGAACGUACCAAGUCAAAAUGUGCAAAAGAAAUAGAACCCUUAUUAGUGAAUGGGAAUCCAGGUUGCUUUGCUAGUUGACAAUAUAAGCUGCCAACAUUUUCAACUUUAGCAUUCAUUAGUUGACCACAGGGGAUCAAAGAACGUAGACUGAGAAUCAUUGUUUUAACCUUAUUAGUUGACCAUAGGGGAUCAAAGAAUGUAGACUGAGAAUGGGAUAACCAAUAACCCAGAACAAAGUAACAUUACGAUAAGUGUUGAAUAGGAUGAUAAAGAGUCGCAUGAGCAGUUGACUCUGGUCGUAGAUGACUAACAUGCAUGUGUGAUCCAUCAGCUAUAUAGGGGACAGAUCAGGUUUUAAGUACUUGAAUCAAUGGGGUCACAAGUAUCCGGGUUCGCAGGUGGGAGGUUCAGGUUAGGAUCAGGUCGUAGGUCAGAGCUUGGCUGAAACUCGCAGAGCCUGUGGAGGCAAGGGGGAACUCGCCCCGACAGACAAACUGCAUGUGGGUGUGGGUUACAAAGUUUCUGGUAGGAGCAGGUGGUGGCGGACCUGGCGGGGGUGUUGUGAGGGAUGGAGGAGGUGAUCUGGUGAUAGGUGUGGAGGUUUCCAACGGUGGCAAGAGGUGGUGGCUACAGAUGAGGUCAAUUAACUCUUUCAAGAUGAUUUGUGGCUUUGCUUGGUGAGGGACUGACUUGGUCUGGAAUUUUUGGUGCUUGCUAACUAGAAGACGUAUUUGCUGCUUUUGGUUGCAUAUUUAGGAACUUGUUAACUGGGAAAAAGUUGUCUAAUUCCUAUUCGGCUAUUUUUUUCUUGGAGUAUGUAUCUCGAGAUAUAUCUGUCCUUGGUGCAGUGAGUAGAGGAAUUUUUACUGCUUGCUUACUGGAAGACGCAGUUGCUGUUGUUUUAGCUAUUCAGGAACUUAUGAACCAGAAGACAGUCGUCUAACUCAUAUUCAGCUCUCUUCUUUUA